rfam:Aedes aegypti strain Liverpool supercont1.983 genomic scaffold, whole genome shotgun sequence.
CCUCUCAUGGCGUAGUGGUAACGCGCCCCAACUAGAGAUCGGGGAGUCGUGAGUUCGAUUCUCACUGAGAAGU